rnacentral:rRNA from 1 species
UACGGGGGGGCAAGCGUUGUUCGGAAUUACUGGGCGGUAAAGGGCUCGUAGGCGGCCAACUAAGUCGGAUGUGAAAUCCCCAGGCUUACCUGGGAACUGCAUCCGAUACUGGAUGGCUUGAAUCCGGGAGAGGGAUGCAGAAUUCCAGGUGUAGCGGUGAAAUGCGUAGAUAUCUGGAGGAAUACCGGUGGCGAAGGCGGCAUCCUGGACCGGCAUUGACGCGUG